GACGAACGCUGGCGGCGUGCUUAACACAUGCAAGUCGAACGAUGAUCAGGAGCUUGCUCCUGUGAUUAGUGGCGAACGGGUGAGUAACACGUGAGUAACCUGCCCCUGACUCUGGGAUAAGCGUUGGAAACGACGUCUAAUACUGGAUAUGAUCACUGGCCGCAUGGUCUGGUGGUGGAAAGAUUUUUUGGUUGGGGAUGGACUCGCGGCCUAUCAGCUUGUUGGUGAGGUAAUGGCUCACCAAGGCGACGACGGGUAGCCGGCCUGAGAGGGUGACCGGCCAAACUGGGAACGGGGAAAGGCCCAAAAUCCUAAGGGAGGGAGGAGGGGGGAAUAUUGGAAAAUGGGCGAAAGGCUUAUGGAGGAAAGGCGGGGGGGGGAUGACGGCCUUCGGGUUGUAAACCUCUUUUAGUAGGGAAGAAGCGAAAGUGACGGUACCUGCAGAAAAAGCACCGGCUAACUACGUG
rnacentral:rRNA from 1 species